UGCGCAGGGGAGGGGCAGAGAGAGAAGGAGCCACAGAAUCUGAAGCAGGCUCCGUGCCUGAGCCAUUAGCACAGAGCCUGAUGUGGGGUUCGAACCCACGAACCGUGAGAUCAUGACCUGAGCUGAAGUCAGAUGGUUAACCGACUGAGCCACCCAGGCACCCCAGGAUUUAUAUUUAAGCACUAGAGAUGAUAUUUUUGUUAGGGCUCUUACAAAAUUAGUCAUAAAAAAGCUGUUUCCCUCUCGAUGAACCUCAAGGCCACCGCUCUGUGGAUGUGUGAAAAGUGAUGCAUUCACCUGCUGGGUUUCGGAAGGAUCUCCUCCAUCAAGGCAGACAGACAGGCGCAGCACGGGAGAAGCCGGAGGCUGGUCCCAUCGUCCAAAACAGCAGAGGGUCCAAACUAACACAGUGACUAGCGGAAGUGACCCAAGAAGGCAGACAAGAAGAUGGGGUCUUGGGGCUGGAUGAUGCACGCCCAGGCUGGCACGGAAGACCCCAUCUCCAGGGACGUGUGGACGCAGGACUAGCUCAAGGUGGCUGCCUAACUGUCUUAAGAGAUCUGAAGAACCUGGGCGUCCCAUGGAACACCACCCUGGUCCAUUACAUUGAUGACACCAUGCUGAUCAGACAAACGGAUGAUCAAAACGGAUCAAAAAGGAUGAACAAAACGGGAGGGCCCACCAGAGAGCGUCCACCGUGGAAGAGGUGGCCAGCAACCAGCUAGACAAAACGACUGGGCCAGUUGGCUCUAGCCAGCCUUCGUCAUCGGCCACCUCAAAACUGGCACAGUGGGUGAUGGAAUGGAGCGGCAGAGGAUCUUCAUGGGCCCAUCUGCAUGGACUCCCACUGACCAUGGCCGGUCUCAUCGUGGCCACCUCUGAAUGUCCAACCCGCGUCAACAGAGCUCAGCACUAAGCGUAGGGACGGACCCUCUUCCUUGAGGAGACCAACAGGACGCAGUGGCAAGGUGACUAUUUUGAACCCUUCCGUCCUCAAAGGGUUGGCUACUCAUCCUCUCUCUGGGCUUCAGGGUCCCAUUUCCUGUCACAGACCAGUCCUUACUCAGC